CCGGGCCCGCGCUUGCUUUGUUGCCUUGCCGAGCCCCCGCCAGCGGGACCAGUUGCUGAGAUGUGCUGUGGAUGUUAUAUAGCACCGUGAGACUUCCAUGACAGAUGGUGUGUCACAGUUGCAUUUUCAUGCUGAGGAACAUACUGAUGGUAAUGACACCUUGUCAUGAUUGGCCACCUCACCAGGUGCUGCUCUGAGAACAUGAC